GACUUGCGGUAUUGGACAAAAAGAAGAUAUCAGCGGCUGCGUUUGUUCCCACUGUAUAAUAUCAGACACUACAAAUCUUUUCUUUUCUGUAUCUAUCUGAGAAAUCGCACGGGACACCACAGUCGAACCAGGAUCGUGGGGCUGAGGAGGGAAUAAAGAGCCAAUCAUGAUAACAUCCGCCGCUGGAAUUAUUUCACUCCUUGAUGAGGAGGAGCCACAGCUCAAGGAGUUUGCUCUGCAGAAACUAGAUGCCAUUGUGAAUGACUUCUGGGCUGAGAUUUCAGGAUCAGUAGAUAAAAUCGAGGUCCUGUAUGAGGAUGAGACGUUUCGGAGCAGAGCAUUUGCUGCCUUGGUGGCCUCUAAGGUUUUCUACCACCUCGGAGCCUUUGAGGAAUCUCUGAACUAUGCUCUCGGUGCUGGAGAUCUCUUCAAUGUCACAGAUGACUCAGAAUAUGUGGAGACCAUCAUUGCCAAAUGCAUCGACCACUACACCAAGCUGCGGGUGGAGAAUGCUGAGCUACCAGAGGAUGAGGAGAAGAAAAUCAUUGACCCCCGCCUUGAGGGCAUUGUCAACAAGAUGUUCCUGCGUUGCCUAGACGAUCACAAGUACAAGCAGGCCAUUGGCAUCGCCCUGGAGACGAGGCGGCUUGACAUGUUUGAGAAGACCAUCUUAGAAUCGACUGAUGUGAGUGGCCUCCUUGCCUACAGCCUGAAGGUGUGCAUGUCUCUGAUGCAGAACAAGAAGUUUCGCAACGAGGUGCUGCGGGUGCUGGUCAAGCUCUACAUGAACUUGGACAAGCCAGAUUUCAUCAAUGUCUGUCAGUGCCUGAUAUUCCUGGAUGACCCACAGGCUGUGAGUGACAUCCUGGAGAAACUAGUGAAAGAGGAUAACCUGUUGAUGGCCUAUCAGAUCUGCUUUGACCUGUAUGAAAGUGCCAGCCAGCAGUUCCUCUCCUCUGUCAUCCAGAACUUGCGCACUGUUGGAACACCUAUCCCUGCCGUCCCUGGCUCUACAAAUACAGGCACUGUGCCCACACCAGACAAAGACAGUGAUGCAAUGGAGACAGAUGAUAAGCCGGGUAGCUCCCCUGCUGGAAAGCCGGUAGAAACUAAAGAUGAGCCCAAAGACCAGAAUGCCAAGAUGAUCAAAAUCCUUAGCGGGGAGAUGGCCAUUGAGCUGCACUUGCAGUUCCUAAUCCGAAAUAACAACACAGAUCUAAUGAUCCUCAAAAACACAAAGGAUGCAGUCCGAAAUUCGGUGUGCCACACAGCCACAGUAAUCGCAAACUCUUUCAUGCACACGGGAACCACAAGUGACCAGUUCCUCAGAGAAAACCUGGAAUGGCUUGCAAGAGCCACCAACUGGGCAAAGUUCACAGCCACAGCAAGUCUGGGUGUCAUCCACAAGGGUCAUGAAAAGGAGGCUCUCCAGUUAAUGGCCACCUACUUGCCCAAAGACACGUCCCCUGGCUCGGCCUACCAGGAGGGAGGAGGCUUGUACGCUCUUGGACUCAUUCAUGCCAACCAUGGUGGAGACAUCAUUGACUACCUGCUUGGUCAGCUCAAGAACGCCAGUAAUGAUAUUGUCCGUCAUGGUGGCGCCCUUGGCCUUGGCUUGGCUGCGUUGGGCACAGCCAGACAGGAUGUUUACGACCUCCUCAAGUCCAACUUGUACCAAGAUGAUGCUGUUACUGGUGAAGCUGCAGGCCUGGCCCUUGGUCUGGUCAUGCUGGGCUCCAAGUCGGCCCAGGCCAUCGAGGACAUGGUAGGCUAUGCUCAGGAGACGCAGCACGAGAAGAUCUUGCGUGGUCUGGCAGUGGGAAUUGCCAUGGUCAUGUACGGACGCAUGGAGGAGGCUGAUGCCCUCAUUGAAAGCCUCUGCAGAGACAAGGACCCCAUCCUGCGGCGCUCUGGUAUGUACACAGUGGGCAUGGCCUACUGCGGCUCCGGGAACAACAAGGCCAUCCGACGCCUGCUACACAUUGCUGUGAGUGACGUAAAUGAUGACGUGAGAAGGGCUGCUGUCGAAUCCAUUGGCUUCAUCUUGUUCAGGACCCCUGAGCAGUGUCCCAGUGUAGUGUCUCUUUUGUCAGAGAGCUACAACCCUCACGUGCGUUGUGGAGCUGCCAUGGCCCUGGGAAUCUGCUGUGCUGGUACAGGCAACAAGGAAGCCAUCAAUCUGCUUGAGCCCAUGACCAAUGACCCAGUAAAUUAUGUGAGACAGGGUGCCCUCAUUGCCUCUGCCCUCAUCAUGAUCCAGCAGUCUGAAGUCACCUGUCCUAAGGUGAACCAGUUCAGGCAGCUUUAUGCGAAGGUGAUCAACGACAAGCAUGAUGAUGUUAUGGCCAAGUUCGGAGCUAUCCUGGCCCAGGGAAUCCUCGAUGCAGGUGGACGUAAUGUGACCAUCUCUCUACAGUCCAGGACGGGUCACACUCACAUGCCAACAUUGGUCGGCCUGCUGGUCUUCACUCAGUUCUGGUUCUGGUUCCCUCUUUCCCACUUCCUGUCAUUGGCCUUCACACCAACCGCUAUAAUUGGCCUCAACAAGGACCUCAAGAUGCCCAAGGUUCAGUAUCGUUCUAACUGUAAGCCCUCCACCUUCGCCUACCCACCAGCUCUGGAGGUUCCCAAAGAGAAGGAGAAGGAGAAGGUAUCCACUGCUGUUCUCUCCAUCACAGCCAAAGCCAAGAAGAAGGAGAAGGAAAAGAAAGAAAAGGAGGAGGAGAAGAUGGAAGUGGAGGUCCAGGAGGCGGAGAAAGAGAAGGAGAAACAGGAGAAGGAGAAGGAGAAGGAGAAGAAGGAUGAAGAAAAGGAGAAAGAGAAGAAGAAAGAGGCUGAGCCAAAUUUCCAGCUCCUGGAGAACCCGGCCAGAGCAAUGCCGGCUCAGCUCAAAGUCCUCAACAUGCCCGAGACCUGCCGCUACCAGCCCUUCAAACCGCUCCACACGGGUGGGAUCAUCAUCAUGAAGGACACCAGUGAGGAGGAGGAGGAGCUGGUGGAGCCCGUCUCAGCUCACGGCCCCAAAAUAGAGGAGGAAGAGCAGGAGCCAGAGCCACCCGAGCCGUUUGAGUAUAUUGACGAGUAGAAAUGCUCUCACAGCAAAGCGCUUACCCACUGACCAAUCAGUAGUCUGCAGGUUUUCACGUCACCUUUUGGUAUCUCUUUGCAUCAGAAGAAGUGAGAUCUCAGCAUGUUGGUCCAGCGUGUCCCCUUUGUGCAUCCAUUUAUUCAUCCACCUCCUUGCUUCACUUCCUCUUUUACACGUUUCUUUCCUGUGCUGCCUUCUCAUUUGCCAGACAGGGAAUGUUUUACAUCUUCGAAUUGUAUAAUUUUCUGUCCGUACAAUAAAAAAUGAUAUAUAUUGGAGGCUGGA